UACGUAGGUGGCGAGCGUUGUCCGGAAUUAUUGGGCGUAAAGGGAGCGCAGGUGGGAUUGUAAGUCAGUCUUAAAAGUUCGGGGCUCAACCCCGUGAUGGGAUUGAAACUACAAUUCUUGAGUGCAGGAGAGGAAAGCGGAAUUCCUAGUGUAGCGGUGAAAUGCGUAGAUAUUAGGAGGAACACCAGUGGCGAAGGCGGCUUUCUGGACUGUAACUGACACUGAGGCUCGAAAGCGUGGGGAGC
rnacentral:rRNA from 1 species